ensembl:lncRNA
GCUACAGCGAGGCUAAGCUAGUGGGGGCAAAGUUUCAGUGCAUUCCGUUGAUGUAGACGGCGUGAAAACGGAAACAACAAGUAUGCCGUCUCACUGUGCUGCAUACAAUUACACACUACGUCGUACGAUUGAGACAAGGAAACUUGGAAUGACUUUUCAUAGGUUUCCCAGAGACUAUGGGUUGAGGAGGAAUUGGAAGUUUGUCGGCUUAGACCUGGUGUCAUUCCAUCAGUGUUAAACUUCCCGGCUCAUCUUGGAAGAGUACGUGCCAGAAAGACCACGACCAAGCAGCCUUGAGAUCUUAGGCAGCGUCUCCCUGAGGUCGCUGGUCGAAGCAGUUCGUAGAGUCGGGAAGCUUGGAGGAAAAUGAGACCAAAGAACUACAGACUCUUCACAACCUGCUCAAACUCUUGGUACAGGACCUCACCACACGGGUCAAGAAGGUUUCCGUCUCAUUUCUACUCUGAAGCUCACCUUCUCCUGCUCAAACUGCUGACAAAUGUUUCUGCUGCUCUAAAGUCUGGUCUCCAGAACUUCCUAAAAACUCUCAAAGUCUCUUCUGCUGC